rnacentral:rRNA from 1 species
GUGACUGCGUACCUUUUGUAUAAUGGGUCAGCGACUUACUUCUCAGUAGCAAGGUUAACCAUUAGGGGAGCCGUAGGGAAACCGAGUCUUAAAUGGGCGUUUAGUUGCUGGGAGUAGACCCGAAACCGGGUGAUCUAUCCAUGGCCAGGGUGAAGGUUAGGUAAAACUAACUGGAGGCCCGAACCCACUUAUGUUGAAAAAUGAGGGGAUGAGCUGUGGAUAGGGGUGAAAGGCCAAACAAACCCGGAGAUAGCUGGUUCUCUCCGAAAUCUAUUUAGGUAGAGCGUCAUGUAUUACUUCUGGGGGUAGAGCACUGUUAUGGCUAGCGGGUCGUCAAGACUUAGUAAACCAUUGCAAACUCCGAAUACCAGAAAGUAUGAGCAUGGCAGACACACUGCGGGUGCUAACGUCCGUAGUGGAAAGGGAAACAACCCAGACCGUCAGCUAAGGUCCCAAAAUUAUAGUUAAGUGGGAAACGAUGUGAAAAGGCAUAGACAGCCAGGAGGUUGGCUUAGAAGCAGCCAUUCCUUUAAAGAGUGCGUAAUAGCUCACUGGUCGAGUCGGUUUGCGCGGAAGAUUUAACGGGGCUAAACUAUAUACCGAAGCUGCGGAUCGCAAUUUAUUGCGAUGGUAGGAGAGCGUUCUGUAAGCCGUUGAAGGUGAACUGUGAGGUUUGCUGGAGGUAUCAGAAGUGCGAAUGCUGACAUGAGUAACGAUAAAGGGGGUGAAAAACCCCCUCGCCAGAAGUCCAAGGUUUCCUACGCAACGUUAAUCGGCGUAGGGUUAGUCGGCCCCUAAGGCGAGGCAGAAAUGCGUAGUCGAUGGGAAACGGGUUAAUAUUCCCGUACUUCAUAUAACUGCGAUGGGAAGACGGAGAAGGUUAGCUCAGCAAGGCGAUGGUUGUCCUUGUUCAAGCGUGUAGAAAUGGUUCUUAGGAAAAUCCGGGAACCUCUAUUUCAAGGCGUGAUAACGAUCCCUCUUUUGGGAGAAGUGAGUGAUACCAUGCUUCCAGGAAAAUCCUCUAAGCUUCAGGUUAUAUGAAACCGUACCCCAAACCGACACAGGUGGACGAGAUGAGAAUUCUAAGGCGCUUGAGAGAACUCGGGUGAAGGAACUAGGCAAAAUGACACCGUAACUUCGGGAGAAGGUGUACUCUUGUUAUGUGAAAUCACUCGCUGAUAGAGCAGAAAAGAGUUGAAAAUACUAGGUGGCUGCGACUGUUUAUUAAAAACACAGCACUCUGCAAACACGUAAGUGGACGUAUAGGGUGUGACUCCUGCCCGGUGCUUGAAGGUUAAUUGAUGAGGUUAGCGCUUGCGCGAAGCUUUUGAUCGAAGCCCAAGUAAACGGCGGCCGUAACUAUAACGGUCCUAAGGUAGCGAAAUUCCUUGUCGGGUAAGUUCCGACCUGCACGAAUGGAGUAACGACGGCCACACUGUCUCCACCCGAGACUCAGUGAAAUUGAAAUUGCUGUUAAGAUGCAGUAUACCCGCGGCCAGACGGAAAGACCCCGUGCACCUUUACUACAGCUUUGCAUUGAACUCUGAUCCUACUUGUGUAGGAUAGGUGGGAGGCUUUGAAGCUUUAACGCUAGUUAGAGUGGAGCCACCCUUGAAAUACCACCCUGGUAUGGUUGGGGUUCUAACCUAGGUCCGUAAUCCGGAUCGGGAACAAUGCAUGGUGGGUAGUUUGACUGGGGCGGUCUCCUCCCAAAGAGUAACGGAGGAGCGCAAAGGUAUCCUCAGCACGGUCGGACAUCGUGCAAUGAGCGCAAAGGUAAAAGGAUGCUUGACUGCGAGACUGACACGUCGAGCAGGUAGGAAACUAGGUCUUAGUGAUCCGGUGGUUCUGAGUGGAAGGACCAUCGCUCAACGGAUAAAAGGUACGCCGGGGAUAACAG